rnacentral:rRNA from 1 species
UACGAAGGGUGCAAGCGUUAAUCGGAAUUACUGGGCGUAAAGGGUGCGUAGGCGGUUCGUUAAGUCUGUCGUGAAAUCCCCGGGCUCAACCUGGGAAUGGCGAUGGAUACUGGCGAGCUAGAGUGUGUCAGAGGAUGGUGGAAUUCCCGGUGUAGCGGUGAAAUGCGUAGAGAUCGGGAGGAACAUCAGUGGCGAAGGCGGCCACCUGGGACAACACUGACGCUGAAGCACGAAAGCGUGGGGAGCAAACAGG